CCUGGUGGCUUAGACGGUAAAGCGUCUGCCUACAAUGCGGGAGACCCGGGUUCGAUCCCGGGGUUAGGA
rnacentral:tRNA from 1 species